CGUGUCGUGAGAUGUCGGUUAAGUCCGCUAACGAGCGCAACCCUCACUGUGUGUUAUAUGUGGUCACACGGGACUGCCGGUUUAAGCCGGAGGAAGGUGGGAUGACGUCAAGUCAGCAUGGCCUUUAUAUCCUGGGCUACACACACGCUACAAUGGUCGGUACAAUAGGUUGCCAAGCCGCGAGGCGGAGCCAAUCCACAAAGACCGGCCUCAGUUCAGAUUGUAGGCUGCAACUCGCCUGCAUGAAGAUGGAGUUGCUAGUAACCGCAGGUCAGCAAUACUGCGGUGAAUACGUUCCCGGGUCUU
rnacentral:rRNA from 1 species